CCCACUGAGGAGACGUUGAGGAGGUUCCCCUCCCACUCGUGACCACUUUGCCCUCUUUCUCGAGCACACAGAAGUGGAGGCUAAAUUGCCAUGUAGCGGGAACAUUAGAGAGCUCUGUGUUCCCUUAACCACACUCCUCUGGUUCCACCUUGGAGGGGCCGAGCUGGUCCACCACGGGGGGACCCUGGAUGCGUUGCGAGUCCCCAGUCAGUCUGGCUGUGUUUUAUCUGAACAAAACGUCUGACUUUAACCCCAGGCGGAUUUCUCUUCGGGUUGUAAUUAUUCCGGAACAAACAGAGAAAAUAGGAAGAUUGGAAGCCAUUCCAUACAACUCUCGGAGAUCAAAUUACUCCUUGAAACCAGACCAGAGCAAAAUCCUAACUCUCUACACUGAGCACCUUAAAUCCCCUCCAUCUUCCUUGGGAAAAUGAAAAUCUGCACGCUCCAGUCACAGGAAUGAACUCUCACGUGACCGAUGUGCAGAGCAGUGCUGAAUGAAAAUGUCCACAUGUGGCCCCUCACUCUGGCCUGUACGUGGGAGCCCAACACUGCCUCUCUGAAGCCUCUCCACAUCCACCAGGGAAGGAAUGGCCUCCUCCCUUCUCUCCCAUGCUCGUGGUGCCUCCUAAAAUUCUGGCUGAAGUUGCUCACCCCAGCCAAGGUGAAGGUGAUAGCUUGUCACAGGAAUUCAGA